rnacentral:rRNA from 1 species
GACGAACGCUGGCGGCGUGCCUAAUACAUGCAAGUAGAACGCUGAAGAGAGGAGCUUGCUCUUCUUGGAAGAGUUGCGAACGGGUGAGUAACGCGUAGGUAACCUGCCUUGUAGCGGGGGAUAACUAUUGGAAACGAUAGCUAAUACCGCGUAACAAUGGGUGACCCAUGUCAUUCAUUUAAAAGGGGCAACUGCUCCACUACAAGAUGGACCUGCGUUGUAUUAGCUAGUAGGUGAGGUAACGGCUCACCUAGGCGACGAUACAUAGCCGACCUGAGAGGGUGAUCGGCCACACUGGGACUGAGACACGGCCCAGACUCCUACGGGAGGCAGCAGUAGGGAAUCUUCGGCAAUGGGGGCAACCCUGACCGAGCAACGCCGCGUGAGUGAAGAAGGUUUUCGGAUCGUAAAGCUCUGUUGUAAGUCAAGAACGAGUGUGAGAGUGGAAAGUUCACACUGUGACGGUAGCUUACCAGAAAGGGACGGCUAACUACGUGCCAGCAGCCGCGGUAAUACGUAGGUCCCGAGCGUUGUCCGGAUUUAUUGGGCGUAAAGCGAGCGCAGGCGGUUUGAUAAGUCUGAAGUUAAAGGCUGUGGCUCAACCAUAGUUUGCUUUGGAAACUGUCAAACUUGAGUGCAGAAGGGGAGAGUGGAAUUCCAUGUGUAGCGGUGAAAUGCGUAGAUAUAUGGAGGAACACCGGUGGCGAAAGCGGCUCUCUGGUCUGUAACUGACGCUGAGGCUCGAAAGCGUGGGGAGCGAACAGG